rnacentral:rRNA from 1 species
CCUACGGGAGGCUGCAGUGGGGAAUAUUGCACAAUGGGGGAAACCCUGAUGCAGCGACGCCGCGUGAGUGAAGAAGUAAUUCGUUAUGUAAAGCUCUAUCAGCAGGGAAGAAAAUGACGGUACCUGAGUAAGAAGCCCCGGCUAACUACGUGCCAGCAGCCGCGGUAAUACGUAGGGGGCAAGCGUUAUCCGGAUUUACUGGGAGUAACGGGAGCGUAGACGGCAGUGCAAGUCUGGAGUGAAAGGCGGGGGCUCAACCCCCGGACUGCUCGGGAAACUGGACGGCUGGAGUGCAGGAGAGGGAAGUAGAAUUCCGGGUGUAGCGGUGAAAUGCGUAGAGAUUAGGAGGAACACCAGUGGCGAAGGCGGCUUACUGGACUGUAACUGACGUUGAGGCGCGAAAGCGUGGGGAGCAAACAGGAUUAGAUACCCUUGUAGUC